rnacentral:rRNA from 1 species
GAUGAACGCUGGCGGCGUGCCUAAUACAUGCAAGUCGAGCGAACAGACGAGGAGCUUGCUCCUCUGACGUUAGCGGCGGACGGGUGAGUAACACGUGGAUAACCUACCUAUAAGACUGGGAUAACUUCGGGAAACCGGAGCUAAUACCGGAUAAUAUAUUGAACCGCAUGGUUCAAUAGUGAAAGACGGUUUUGCUGUCACUUAUAGAUGGAUCCGCGCCGCAUUAGCUAGUUGGUAAGGUAACGGCUUACCAAGGCAACGAUGCGUAGCCGACCUGAGAGGGUGACCCCCCACCCGUGACUUGAGCCCCGGCCCACCCCCCGCGGGGGGGCCGCCGUGGGACAUCUUCCGCAAUGGGCGAAAGCCUGACGGGGCAACCCCGCGUGGGUGAUGAAGGUUUUCGGUUCGUAAAACUCUUUUUUUAGGGAAGAACAAAUGUGUAAGUACCCAUGCCCGUUUUGACGGUACCUAAUCAAAAAGCCCCGGCUAACUCCGU